UACGGAGGAUGCAAGCGUUAUCCGGAAUGAUUGGGCGUAAAGGGUCCGCAGGUGGCAGUGUAAGUCUGCUGUCAAAGAAUGAGGCUUAACCUUAUCAAGGCGGUGGAAACUACACAGCUAGAGUACGGUCGGGGUAGAAGGAAUUCCUGGUGUAGCGGUGAAAUGCGCAGAUAUCAGGAAGAACACCCAUGGCGAAAGCAGCUCUCUGGGACGGUACUGACGCUGAGACGCGAAAGCGUGGGGAGCGAACAGG
rnacentral:rRNA from 1 species